GACGAACGCUGGCGGCGUGCCUAAUACAUGCAAGUAGAACGCUGAAGAGAGGAGCUUGCUCUUCUUGGAUGAGUUGCGAACGGGUGAGUAACGCGUAGGUAACCUGCCUUGUAGCGGGGGAUAACUAUUGGAAACGAUAGCUAAUACCGCAUAUCAAUGGAUGACCCAUGUCAUUUAUUUGAAAGGGGCAAAUGCUCCACUACAAGAUGGACCUGCGUUGUAUUAGCUAGUAGGUGAGGUAACGGCUCACCUAGGCGACGAUACAUAGCCGACCUGAGAGGGUGAUCGGCCACACUGGGACUGAGACACGGCCCAGACUCCUACGGGAGGCAGCAGUAGGGAAUCUUCGGCAAUGGGGGCAACCCUGACCGAGCAACGCCGCGUGAGUGAAGAAGGUUUUCGGAUCGUAAAGCUCUGUUGUAAGUCAAGAACGAGUGUGAGAGUGGAAAGUUCACACUGUGACGGUAGCUUACCAGAAAGGGACGGCUAACUACGUG
rnacentral:rRNA from 1 species